UACGAAGGGGGCUAGCGUUGCUCGGAAUGACUGGGCGUAAAGGGCGCGUAGGCGGAUGGCACAGUCAGAUGUGAAAUUCCUGGGCUUAACCUGGGGGCUGCAUUUGAUACGUGUGAUCUAGAGUGAGGAAGAGGGUUGUGGAAUUCCCAGUGUAGAGGUGAAAUCCGUAGAUAUUGGGAAGAACACCGGUGGCGAAGGCGGCGACCUGGUCCUUAACUGACGCUGAGGCGCGAAAGCGUGGGGAGCAAACAGG
rnacentral:rRNA from 1 species